UACGUCAACAUCCUUAACGAAUUUGCUCACACUCUAGCCUGUUCAAAGGCGAAUCCUAACAAAGUCAGCAAGCUGUCGUCGCCAGGAUACCAAAGAGAGGCCAGGUGGAACAGCCCUAAAGGUAUUCGUUGCAAUCCUCAAUCCCGACCACCACAUUCCGCUAAAGGUUAUAACACUCCCGAAGGAGCCACAUCCCUCCAGCCUUUUAUGACGUUCGAAAUUGAUGUUAACCAGCGGACACGAAAGUGCUCCCACUCAUCGUGAUAUCACACGCCGUGGCGGUUUUGAGGCUCGCCACAACAGUGAUCUCCCGACGAGGGGGUUGAUUUCGCGCCAGCACGACUGACUUCAAUCGUUUCCCUUUCAACAAUUUCACGUACUGUUUAACUCUCUUUUCAAAGUUCUUUUCAUCUUUCCCUCACGGUACUUGUUCGCUAUCGGUCUCUCGCCAAUAUUUAGCCUUAGGUGAUGUUUACCACCCAUUUGGAGCUGCAAUCCCAAACAACUCGACUCUUUGAAAGCGUAUCGUAGAUGAACGCACGACCGGUCACGGACGGGAUUGUCACCCUCUAUGAUGUCCUGUUCCAAAGAACUUCUACCGGCCGCGAGCCCAAGAAAACGCUUCUUCAAAUUACAACUCGACCUUGGAACAAGGCAGAUUUAAAAUUUGAGCUCUUCCCUCUUCACUCGCCGUUACUAGGGGAAUCCUUGUUAGUUUCUUUUCCUCCGCUUAUUGAUAUCG
rnacentral:rRNA from 1 species